AGGUCGUGGGAGGACGCCAGGCUGGGAUUCGGGGGGGAGGCGGGUGACACAGGCAGAGGUCCCAGUGAGCUGAGGGGUUGUAAAAGUGGUUUAUUUUGAAAAAUGAGAGCAAGAGUGAGGAGAGUGCCUGGGCUCCAGACACUCACCAAGGACAAAGAGCGACCACAGCUCGGCGGAUGAGCCUUCCCUCCCAGUCCCGAGGCUGCUCCCCGGAUGCCGUGAACCCACUUGGGGUUCCCGCAGAGACAGGGCGGGAGAGUCCGUUCUGGGGCGGCCUUGGGGGUCCGGGGCCUGGGGCUCCCUCCUGGGGGUCUCACUUCACACCCAGGCCCCGGGGCAGGCAGAAGGAUCUCCUGCUGGAUGGACGGAUGGUCCAAUAGACGUGACUCAGGCCGCGGACCUUGGGAUGGGUUGGCUGCCCUGUACCCUGGGUGGCCCCUCCACCCCUGCCUGUGUCCAGCGAGGGCCCGUCCUGCCUGCGGGGGUCCGAGUCAGCGGGACCUCCUCCAGGAGGCCGGUCUGGCGGCACCUCACGGCCUCCCUGGGCAGGGCCGCUCUGUCCCCACCGGGGCUCCUCCCGUGGCCUCGGGCCCAGGUCCUCCUCCCUCGAGUGCCCUGGGCUGGAGGUGACCUGAGCGCCUGUUGGUGGCCCGUCUGGGAACUUCCCUGCUGGGAGACGCUGGCGUUGGGGGCAGCUGUUCCCACUCCAGGCUGUGACACAGGAGCCUCCUCUCGGGGACCCUGCCUCUGGAGCCCGGUCUGGAUGGGGUCCACAGGGAGCCAGGGCCCUGUCCCGUCAGCCGCUGGACGCCGGUCUCCUCGUGGACGGCUGGACCUGCUGGCUGAGCUGGGCGUUCCUGCUGUAUCAUCAGCACAUGAGACUUUAGCCAGACUCAUCGGGACAAAAGGGACAGGAUUCAAUUCAAUAAAAUCAGUGACGAAAACUAGAUGCAAUUGAAACACAAAUCUCAUAAGAGACUAGUAGGAGCCACUGUCUGCCCAUAAAAUGACAACCCGGAGGAAAUGGACUGAUUCUUACAGGGGAACAGCCUACCAAGCCUGAACCAGCAAGAACUAGAAAAUACAAACAGACGAGUGACAAGCACUGAAAUUGAGAAUGUGGUUUAAAAACUUCCAGAAAACCUAGGUCAAGGGCCUGACGCCUUCGCAGAUGACUUCUGUCAAACAUCCAGAGAAGAGUUAACACCUAUUCUUCUGAAGCGCUUCCGAAAAGUUGCAGGGGGAGGAACACUCUCAAACUCAUUCUGUGAAGGCACCAUCGCCCCGAUACCGAAACCAAAGAUACCAAAACAAAAAAAAACAAACAAAAAAAACCAAAAAAAAAAAAAAAAGGAGAAAAUGACAGGUGAACAUCACCGAUGAACAUAGAUGGAAAAAUCCUCAACGAAAUAUUAGCAAACUGCGUUCACAUGUACAAUAAAGAGAUCCCUCGCCAUGAUCGAGGGGCUUUAUCCCAGGGAUGCAAAGAUCCCUCAAUAUCCGAGAAUCGACCAACCGAACAACAAAAUCCAUCUGAUCAUCUCAACAGAUACAGAAAAAGCUUUUGACAAAAUUAACACCCCUUCCUGAUAAAACCUCUAGUGGGAAACUACAUCAACAGAGUAAAAGCCAUGUCUGACAAACCUGCAGUUAACAGCAUUCCCAACGGUGCAAAGCCGAAAGCAUUUCCGCUAGGAUCAGGAGCAAGACAAGGAUGUCUGCUCUCACCACUCUCCUUCCACGGAGUUUUGGAAGUCCUAGCCAGGGCAAUUAGAGAAGAAAAGGCAUCCAAAUCGGAAACGGAGAAGUAACACUACCGCUCUUUACAGGUGACGUGCUGCGAUACCUAGAGAAUCCUCAAGGCACUACCAGAAACCUCUUAGAGCUCGCCAAUGAAUUUGGUCAAGCUGCAGGAUACAAAAUUAACACACAGAAAUUGGCUGCCUUGCUCUACGUUAACAAUGAAAGAGCAGCGAGAGAAACUAGGGAAACCAUCCCACUGAGCAGUGCCUCGAAAUGAAUGAAAUGCCCAGGAAUAAACCUACCCAAAGACACAAAGACCUGGACUCUGAAAACCAUAAGGCACUGCUGGAAGCAACCAAAGACGACACAAACCGGUGGAAAGCUAGACCAUGCUCCUGCCCUGGAAGAAUUAAUACUGGCAAAAGGGCCAUACCACCUAAGGCCACCCUCACUCUCAGUGCAAUCCCUCUCAAAUCUCCAAUGGCAUUUUCCACAGAACUAGAACAAAAAACCUCAAAAAUUUGCAUGGAAACACAAAAUACCCCAAAUAGCCAACGCAAUGAGUGAGGAAAAAGUGAGAAAAAUGGAGCUGGUGGAAUCAGGCUCCCUGACUUCAGACCUUACUACAAAGCUGCAGUCACCCAAACAGUAUGGCACUGGCUUAAAACCAAACAUAUACAUCGCUGGAAGCGGAGGCAGGUCAAUCCAUCCAUGACGAAGGGGCAAGAGUAGUCAAUAGAGAAGAGAAAGUCUCCUCAAAGAUCGGUGCCAGGAAAACCGGACAGCUCCACGUAACAGAAUGAAAGCAGAACACUCUCUAACGCCA